UUGGAGUGCUCCGUCUCCUCCUCAUUGUCGCCGUCGAUGCCGCAGGUGUCCUGGUCGUCCAGCUCGAGGCUCUGCUGGCUGGCAGCAGACUCGCUGUCCUCCGCCAUCACGGGGGGAAGGCGCAGCCCCACCUCGCCGGGAGGAGAUGCCUGUCGUGCUCACCAGGUGGUCAAACACGCGCUUUCUGUCUCUGCGUCCACCCCCCUCAUCCAUCCCGGGCCGAUGGAGGAGUGCUGCUGCCGCUCCUCCUCCCGUUACUGUUGCCAUUGUUUUUAGAGGGAUGCGAGGUUUACUUGGCUUUGCUUUUUUGGGUAAAAAAAUGAGGUGCCCGAACUCAUAGCUUGGUAAAAGUACCGUGGGUGCAAUCACGCACUGGAUGUAACCGACUAAUCUUUUGCAUGAUGCACUAAACCAAACCAUGGUUUAGUGUGAAGAUGUGAGUCUGUGGGCUCAUGGAGAGGUCCUCUAGUCAUUCUGCUGCUGCGCUAAGCCAUGGUUUCGACAUACCUUAUUGUCCAAACCCAGGCUGUUGGACUCACUCCAGCCAACCCCAGGAAAGAGUUCAGCACCCAACACAGAUGCAGGAAGAACUUCAUGUAGGCAAAAGCAGCACUUUCCAUAUUGUUGUAAGAAUCAGAGGAGCACUUUCUGUUACAUGUGUGUAAAGAACGAUCACUGGGAUGUUGUUCUAAAAACACCAGACUCAGAUGUUCUUAUUACAUCGUCCUAGAGUGUACAUAUUCCAAACUUAGAAUUAUGGACGAGUAUGCUUCUGGAAGUCAUCUCCCCUAUCUAUCUAGGCAUAUAUCCAAUUCAAAUCUUCCUGAAAGUAUUGGUGACCAGCAGGAACACACUCUUGUGUGUGUGUGUGUGUGUCCACUCCGGAACUUUUUUUUUUAGCAGUGACGUCAUCUUCAGGGAUCUUAUUGGCCAGUGUGAUCAUCUUUUUUGGGGGGGGGGAAGAAUACAGGAAAUGCUGAAUUUGUUCAGUUACCUGGUAAUAACCUUUCCAGCACUGUUUUAAAGU